AGUGAACGCUGGCGGCAGGCCUAACACAUGCAAGUCGAACGAACCGCAAGGUUAGUGGCGGACGGGUGAGUAACACGUGGGAAUCUACCUUUAGAUGGGGGAUAACUCAGGGAAACUUGAGCUAAUACCGCAUAAUGUCGAGAGACCAAAGAUUUAUCGUUUAAAGAUGAGCCCGCGUUAGAUUAGUUUGUUGGUGGGGUAAUGGCCUACCAAGACUACGAUCUAUAGCUGGUUUGAGAAGAUGACCAGCCACAUUGGGACUGAGACACGGCCCAAACUCCUACGGGAGGCAGCAGUGGGGAAUAUUGGGCAAUGGGCGAAAGCCUGACCCAGCCAUGCCGCGUGAGUGAUGAAGGCAUUAGGGUUGUAAAGCUCUUUCAGGGGGGAAGAUAAUGACGGUACCCCCAGAAGAAGCUCCGGCUAACUUCGUGCCAGCCGCCGCGGUAA
rnacentral:rRNA from 1 species